rnacentral:lncRNA from 1 species
AAUAAAAAAAAGGUUUAGGAUAUUUUUUACUUUACAUAAGAUGACUCUGAUUUCUCAACAGGACAAAAGAAGAAUUCGAGAGGGGAUAGAAAAGAAACGAAGAAACAUUGAAGAAGAGAAAUUAAAGCUACAAUAUCUAAAGAAAAAAACUCUACGGGAACAAUGGCUGAUGGAAGGAUUGAGCACCCUGAGUGAAGAGGAGCAGGAAUGUGUGAAGGCCCAGACUGAAGAUAACCAGCAGCAGGCUAAACUCCUGCAGAGCAAUAUCGACAGACUCCACGAUAUGAUGGCUGCUGUUUAAAUCAGAUGGAUUAAGAGCGAAAAAGCAAUCUGAUGAGAAUCCCCACAAUCACAGGACAGAGGAGGCUUGUCAACUCCUGUAAGUUAUCUUGACGUAUAGGUUCAUGGCCCCAAACAAAACAUAAAUGAGAGUAAUCAUUCUGAAACUCUGAAACUAAAACUCAAUUUUCAGUAUCAUCCGCUCUCUGCACAUGCC